rnacentral:rRNA from 1 species
UACGUAGGGGGCAAGCGUUGUCCGGAAUCAUUGGGCGUAAAGAGCGUGUAGGCGGUUCGGUAAGUCGGCUGUGAAAGUCCAGGGCUCAACCCUGGGAUGCCGGUCGAUACUGCCGGACUAGAGUUCGGAAGAGGCGAGUGGAAUUCCCGGUGUAGCGGUGAAAUGCGCAGAUAUCGGGAGGAACACCUAUGGCGAAGGCAGCUCGCUGGGACGUUACUGACGCUGAGGCGCGACAGCGUGGGGGAGCAAACAGG